CUUUAGGAAGAGAGAGCAAGAAUUGAGUCUAGCCCCAGCAAAUCCUGGUUAGCUGUCGUCCAGCCUCCUGAUGCCACUCACCAUGUUCACAAAUUCAUCCUUGGUUUGCAGAAGAGAUGAGAGCUGCAGCUGCAGCUAUCUUGUAAUUACAAAGAAAUAGCCAGUCUGAGAAUGGAGCCAACUUGGCAGAAGACAGAGAUGUGCCAGAGACAAUAAAAUGGAUCGAUUUU